rnacentral:rRNA from 1 species
ACACUCCUACGGGAGGCAGCAGUGGGGAAUUUUGGACAAUGGGCGAAAGCCUGAUCCAGCAAUGCCGCGUGUGUGAAGAAGGCCUUCGGGUUGUAAAGCACUUUUGUCCGGAAAGAAAUCCUUGGCUCUAAUACAGUCGGGGGAUGACGGUACCGGAAGAAUAAGCACCGGCUAACUACGUGCCAGCAGCCGCGGUAAUACGUAGGGUGCGAGCGUUAAUCGGAAUUACUGGGCGUAAAGCGUGCGCAGGCGGUUUGCUAAGACCGAUGUGAAAUCCCCGGGCUCAACCUGGGAACUGCAUUGGUGACUGGCAGGCUAGAGUAUGGCAGAGGGGGGUAGAAUUCCACGUGUAGCAGUGAAAUGCGUAGAGAUGUGGAGGAAUACCGAUGGCGACGGCAGCCCCCUGGGCCAAUACUGACGCUCAUGCACGAAAGCGUGGGGAGCAAACAGGAUUAGAAACCCGAGUAGUCCCAU